AGCAGCCGCGGUAAUUCCAGCUCCAAUAGCGUAUAUUAAAGUUGUUGCAGUUAAAAAGCUCGUAGUUGAAUUUCGGGAUCAAUGCGUCGGUCGUGCCUUCGGUACGUACUAGCGUCAUUGAUUCCUCCCUUCUGAAGAACCGUGAUGUCAUUAAUUUGGUGUUACGGGGAAUCAGGACUGUUACCUUGAAAAAUUAGAGUGUUUAAAGCAGGCUAACGCUUGAAUACAUUAGCAUGGAAUAAUGAAAUAGGACGUUCGAACCUAUUUUGUUGGUUUCUAGGAUCGACGUAAUGAUUAAUAGGGAUAGUUGGGGGCAUUAGUAUUCAAUUGUCAGAGGUGAAAUUCUUGGAUUUAUUGAAGACUGACUACUGCGAAAGCAUUUGCCAAGGAUGUUUUCAUUAAUCAAGAACGAAAGUUAGGGGAUCGAAGACGAUCAGAUACCGUCGUAGUCUUAACCAUAAACUAUGCCGACUAGGGAUCGGAUGAU
rnacentral:rRNA from 1 species